rnacentral:rRNA from 1 species
UUCUGGUUGAUCCUGCCAGACCUGACUGCUAUUUGGGUGAGACUAAGCCAUGCGAGUUGAAUGGAAUACCUAAAUUUUCCAUAGCAAACUGCUCAGUAACACAUGAUCAACUUUCCCUAUGGAGAAAAAUAACCUCGGGAAACUGAGGAUAAUGUUUCAUAGUUGAAAAGGCUUGGAAAAGUUUUUCAAUGAAAGGGGUAAGGAAAAUGGUCCUUAUUUGCCAUAGGAUAGGAUCGUGGUCGAUUAUGGUUGUUGGUGAGGUAACGGCUCACCAAGCCGAUAAUCGCUAGGGGCCGUGAGAGCGGGAGCCCCGAGAUGGGUACUGAGACAACGACCCAGGCCUUACGAGGCGCAGCAGGCGCGGAACCUCCGCAAUACACGAAAGUGUGACGGGGUCACCCAAAGUGUCCAAUUUUGGACUGUGGUAGGUGAGUAAUGUUCCCUACUAGAAAGGAGAGGGCAAGGCUGGUGCCAGCCGCCGCGGUAAAACCAGCUCUUCAAGUGGUCGGGAUAAUUAUUGGGCUUAAAGUGUCCGUAGCCGGUUUAGUAAGUUCCUGGUAAAAUCGGGUAGCUUAACUAUCUGUAUGCUAGGAAUACUGCUAUACUAGAGGACGGGAGAGGUCUGAGGUACUACAGGGGUAGGGGUGAAAUCUUAUAAUCCUUGUAGGACCACCAGUGGCAAAGGCGUCAGACUGGAACGUGCCUGACGGUGAGGGACGAAAGCCAGGGGAGCGAACCGGAUUAGAUACCCGGGUAGUCCUGGCCGUAAACGAUGCAUACUAGGUGAUGGCACGGCCAUGAGCCGUGUCAGUGCCGAAGGGAAACCGUUAAGUGUGCCGCCUGGGAAGUACGGUCGCAAGGCUAAAACUUAAAGGAAUUGGCGGGGGAGCACCACAAGGGGUGAAGCCUGCGGUUCAAUUGGAAUCAACGCCGGA